AGGUGGAAAAAAAAAACUCACAUGCAUGAGUUGUUCAAAUCUAUGGUUGACGAUCUCCUUUAGUUUAUUCUUGCGACGUGCCUCCAGAAUGACAGUCUGCAUCACCAAUUCGAAAAGAUCAUUUCCCAAUCGGGGUCACUUCAGGAGCGACAUUCUUGUCACAGUGUCCUCCUUGAUCGAGCUCGAUGGGGCCCAGAGAUUGUGGUCGGCUUGCGUCUGAGCUCUUUGGAAGGCAAUGUGGGUCGGGCAUCAUUGUUCUUGAUCCUCACCAUAGUGGUUGGCG
rnacentral:lncRNA from 1 species